GAACCACCAACUCCGUCGUCCAUUAGUACGUCGUGAAGCAGCUAGCUAGCAGUACGUUCUUCAGGCAAGCAGGCAGGGUAGGAAUUGAAUUAUAUAUUCUUGAAGAUGUUUGGUAGGCCGGGGAUGAUCAUCAACUUCAAAUGUUUGAUAUUUUUAAGUUUGACGAUGUCUACCUUGUUCCACACUCAUGGAUGCAGUAUAUCAUCAUUCGGAAGUGAGAAGAAAUUAAAUAUCACUGAUCUUUGCAGUCUUAGAAGCAGCUCAAAUGGGCAAUGUUGGUGCUGUUUCGCUGGAAAAUGUUGGAAAACCAAACAACAUUGCGAGGAAGAUUGCAACCAACAAGGCACCAACAAGCUUCAUCCCACCUCACUGUGCAAUGGUAUAAGCUCCACUGCUUAUACCAUGGGCUGGGUUCACACUUCACUCUUCACCCUGUGCAUGUGGAUGUAUUUUAUGUUGUGAGUUUUUUUUUUUUUUUUUUUUUUUAAGUGUGUGAAAUUUGUAUUUGAAAUAAAUUUGUAACUGUGUUUUAUGUUAUGAAUUUAUGUGUG